rnacentral:rRNA from 1 species
CAAUUUAAACAACGAAGAGUUUGAUCCUGGCUCAGGAUGAACGCUAGCGACAGGCUUAACACAUGCAAGUCGAGGGGCAGCACAGGUAGCAAUACCGGGUGGCGACCGGCGCACGGGUGAGUAACGCGUAUGCAACUUACCUAUCAGAGGGGGAUAACCCGGCGAAAGUCGGACUAAUACCGCAUGAAGCAGGGGCCCCGCAUGGGGAUAUUUGCUAAAGAUUCAUCGCUGAUAGAUAGGCAUGCGUUCCAUUAGGCAGUUGGCGGGGUAACGGCCCACCAAACCGACGAUGGAUAGGGGUUCUGAGAGGAAGGUCCCCCACAUUGGUACUGAGACACGGACCAAACUCCUACGGGAGGCAGCAGUGAGGAAUAUUGGUCAAUGGGCGUAAGCCUGAACCAGCCAAGUCGCGUGAGGGAUGAAGGUUCUAUGGAUCGUAAACCUCUUUUAUAAGGGAAUAAAGUGCGGGACGUGUCCCGUUUUGUAUGUACCUUAUGAAUAAGGAUCGGCUAACUCCGUGCCAGCAGCCGCGGUAAUACGGAGGAUUCGAGCGUUAUCCGGAUUUAUUGGGUUUAAAGGGUGCGUAGGCGGCCUUUUAAGUCAGCGGUGAAAGUCUGUGGCUCAACCAUAGAAUUGCCGUUGAAACUGGGGGGCUUGAGUAUGUUUGAGGCAGGCGGAAUGCGUGGUGUAGCGGUGAAAUGCUUAGAUAUCACGCAGAACCCCGAUUGCGAAGGCAGCCUGCCAAGCCAUGACUGACGCUGAUGCACGAAAGCGUGGGGAUCAAACAGGAUUAGAUACCCUGGUAGUCCACGCAGUAAACGAUGAUCACUAGCUGUUUGCGAUACAGUGUAAGCGGCACAGCGAAAGCGUUAAGUGAUCCACCUGGGGAGUACGCCGGCAACGGUGAAACUCAAAGGAAUUGACGGGGGCCCGCACAAGCGGAGGAACAUGUGGUUUAAUUCGAUGAUACGCGAGGAACCUUACCCGGGUUUGAACGCAUUCGGACCGAGGUGGAAACACCUUUUCUAGCAAUAGCCGUUUGCGAGGUGCUGCAUGGUUGUCGUCAGCUCGUGCCGUGAGGUGUCGGCUUAAGUGCCAUAACGAGCGCAACCCUUGCCACUAGUUACUAACAGGUGAUGCUGAGGACUCUGGUGGGACUGCCAGCGUAAGCUGCGAGGAAGGCGGGGAUGACGUCAAAUCAGCACGGCCCUUACAUCCGGGGCGACACACGUGUUACAAUGGCGUGGACAAAGGGAAGCCACCUGGCGACAGGGAGCGAAUCCCCAAACCACGUCUCAGUUCGGAUCGGAGUCUGCAACCCGACUCCGUGAAGCUGGAUUCGCUAGUAAUCGCGCAUCAGCCAUGGCGCGGUGAAUACGUUCCCGGGCCUUGUACACACCGCCCGUCAAGCCAUGGGAGCCGGGGGUACCUGAAGUCCGUAACCGCGAGGAUCGGCCUAGGGUAAAACUGGUGACUGGGGCUAAGUCGUAACAAGGUAGCCGUACCGGAAGGUGCGGCUGGAACACCUCCUUUCU